rnacentral:rRNA from 1 species
GACGAACGCUGGCGGAGUGCCUAAUACAUGCAAGUAGGACGCAGUUGCGAAUGGGUGAGUAACGCGUAGGUAACUACCUAUUAGAGGGGGAUAACUUUUGGAAACGAUCGCUAAUACCGCAUACUAGUAGAUGGACCUGCGUUGUAUUAGCGAGUAGGUAGGGUAAUGGCCUACCUAGGCAACGAUACAUAGCCGACCUGGGAGGGUGAUCGGCAACACGGGGACUGAGACACGACCCAGACUCCUACGGGAGGCAACAGUAGGGAAUCUUCGGGAAUGGGGGGAAGCCUAACCGUGCAACGCAGCGUGAAUGAAGAAGGUUUUCGGAUCGUAAAGCUCUGUUGUUAAGGAAGCAGUACUUAACCAGAAAGGGACGGCUAACUGCGUGCCAGCAGCCGCGGUAAUAC